UACAGAGGGUGCAAGCGUUGUUCGGAAUUACUGGCGUAAAGAGCUCGUAGGUGGUUUGUCGCGUUGUUCGUGAAAACUCACAGCUCAACUGUGGGCGUGCGGGCGAUACGGGCAGACUAGAGUGCAGUAGGGGAGACUGGAAUCCUGGUGUAGCGGUGAAAUGCGCAGAUAUCAGGAGGAACACCGAUGGCGAAGGCAGGUCUCUGGGCUGUAACUGACGCUGAGGAGCGAAAGCAUGGGGAGCGAACAGG
rnacentral:rRNA from 1 species